rnacentral:rRNA from 1 species
UACGGAGGGGGCUAGCGUUGUUCGGAAUUACUGGGCGUAAAGCGCACGUAGGCGGCUUUGUAAGUUAGAGGUGAAAGCCCGGGGCUCAACUCCGGAAUUGCCUUUAAGACUGCAUCGCUAGAAUUGUGGAGAGGUGAGUGGAAUUCCGAGUGUAGAGGUGAAAUUCGUAGAUAUUCGGAAGAACACCGGUGGCGAAGGCGGCUCACUGGCUCGUAACUGACGC